rnacentral:rRNA from 1 species
CACGUAGGGCGCGAGCGUUGACCGGAAUUAUUGGGCGUAAAGAGCUCGUAGGCGGCCUGUUGCGUCCGCUGUGAAAGCCCGGGGCUUAACCCCGGGUCUGCAGUGGAUACGGGCAGGCUAGAGGUAGGUAGGGGAGAAUGGAAUUCCCGGUGUAGCGGUGAAAUGCGCAGAUAUCGGGAGGAACACCGGUGGCGAAGGCGGUUCUCUGGGCCUUACCUGACGCUGAGGAGCGAAAGCGUGGGGAGCGAACAGG